rnacentral:rRNA from 1 species
CCUACGGGAGGCAGCAGUGGGGAAUUUUGCGCAAUGGGCGAAAGCCUGACGCAGCAACGCCGCGUGGGUGAUGAAGGUCUUCGGAUCGUAAAACCCUGUCGUUGGGGACGAAGGUGGGGGCGUUAAUAGCGUUUCUGCUUGACGGUACCCGGAGAGGAAGCCCCGGCUAACUCUGUGCCAGCAGCCGCGGUAAUACAGAGGGGGCAUACGUUAUUCGGAAUUAUUGGGCGUGAAGGGUGAAGAGGCGGGUGUAAUCCCCGAGCUCAACUUGGGAACUGCAUCUGAGACUGGAAGGCGAGAGUACGGGAGAGGGUGGUGGAAUUCCUCGUGUAGCGGUGAAAUGCGUAGAGAUGAGGAGGAACACCAGUGGCGAAGGCGGCCACCUGGACAGUAACUGACGCUGAGGCGCGAAAGUGUGGGUAGCAAACAGGAUUAGAUACCCUUGUAGUC